rnacentral:rRNA from 1 species
GACGAACGCUGGCGGCGUGCUUAACACAUGCAAGUCGAACGGAAAGGCCCUGCUUUUGUGGGGUGCUCGAGUGGCGAACGGGUGAGUAACACGUGAGUAACCUGCCCUUGACUUUGGGAUAACUUCAGGAAACUGGGGCUAAUACCGGAUAGGAGCUCCUGCUGCAUGGUGGGGGUUGGAAAGUUUCGGCGGUUGGGGAUGGACUCGCGGCUUAUCAGCUUGUUGGUGGGGUAGUGGCUUACCAAGGCUUUGACGGGUAGCCGGCCUGAGAGGGUGACCGGCCACAUUGGGACUGAGAUACGGCCCAGACUCCUACGGGAGGCAGCAGUGGGGAAUAUUGCACAAUGGGCGGAAGCCUGAUGCAGCAACGCCGCGUGCGGGAUGACGGCCUUCGGGUUGUAAACCGCUUUCGCCUGUGACGAAGCGUGAGUGACGGUAAUGGGUAAAGAAGCACCGGCUAACUACGUGCCAGCAGCCGCGGUGAUACGUAGGGUGCGAGCGUUGUCCGGAUUUAUUGGGCGUAAAGGGCUCGUAGGUGGUUGAUCGCGUCGGAAGUGUAAUCUUGGGGCUUAACCCUGAGCGUGCUUUCGAUACGGGUUGACUUGAGGAAGGUAGGGGAGAAUGGAAUUCCUGGUGGAGCGGUGGAAUGCGCAGAUAUCAGGAGGAACACCAGUGGCGAAGGCGGUUCUCUGGGCCUUUCCUGACGCUGAGGAGCGAAAGCGUGGGGAGCGAACAGGCUUAGAUACCCUGGUAGUCCACGCUGUAAACGGUGGGUACUAGGUGUGGGGUCCAUUCCACGGGUUCCGUGCCGUAGCUAACGCUUUAAGUACCCCGCCUGGGGAGUACGGCCGCAAGGCUAAAACUCAAAGGAAUUGACGGGGCCCCGCACAAGCGGCGGAGCAUGCGGAUUAAUUCGAUGCAACGCGUAGAACCUUACCUGGGUUUGACAUGGAUCGGGAGUGCUCAGAGAUGGGUGUGCCUCUUUUGGGGUCGGUUCACAGGUGGUGCAUGGCUGUCGUCAGCUCGUGUCGUGAGAUGUUGGGUUAAGUCCCGCAACGAGCGCAACCCUUGUUCACUGUUGCCAGCACGUUAUGGUGGGGACUCAGUGGAGACCGCCGGGGUCAACUCGGAGGAAGGUGGGGAUGACGUCAAGUCAUCAUGCCCCUUAUGUCCAGGGCUUCACGCAUGCUACAAUGGCUGGUACAGAGAGUGGCGAGCCUGUGAGGGUGAGCGAAUCUCGGAAAGCCGGUCUCAGUUCGGAUUGGGGUCUGCAACUCGACCUCAUGAAGUCGGAGUCGCUAGUAAUCGCAGAUCAGCAACGCUGCGGUGAAUAUGUUCCCGGG